CACACUGGACUGAGACACGGUCCAGACUCCUACGGGAGGCAGCAGUGGGGAAUAUUGCACAAUGGGCGCAAGCCUGAUGCAGCCAUGCCGCGUGUGUGAAGAAGGCCUUCGGGUUGUAAAGCACUUUCAGUCGUGAGGAAGGUAGUGUAGUUAAUAGCUGCAUUAUUUGACGUUAGCGACAGAAGAAGCACCGGCUAACUCCGUGCCAGCAGCCGCGGUAAUACGGAGGGUGCGAGCGUUAAUCGGAAUUACUGGGCGUAAAGCGCAUGCAGGUGGUUUGUUAAGUCAGAUGUGAAAGCCCGGGGCUCAACCUCGGAAUUGCAUUUGAAACUGGCAGACUAGAGUACUGUAGAGGGGGGUAGAAUUUCAGGUGUAGCGGUGAAAUGCGUAGAGAUCUGAAGGAAUACCGGUGGCGAAGGCGGCCCCCUGGACAGAUACUGACACUCAGAUGCGAAAGCGUGGGGAGCAAACAGGAUUAGAUACCCUGGUAGUCCACGCCGUAAACGAUGUCUACUUGGAGGUUGUGGCCUUGAGCCGUGGCUUUCGGAGCUAACGCGUUAAGUAGACCGCCUGGGGAGUACGGUCGCAAGAUUAAAACUCAAAUGAAUUGACGGGGGCCCGCACAAGCGGUGGAGCAUGUGGUUUAAUUCGAUGCAACGCGAAGAACCUUACCUACUCUUGACAUCCAGAG
rnacentral:rRNA from 1 species